rnacentral:rRNA from 1 species
GAUGAACGCUGGCGGCGUGCCUAAUACAUGCAAGUCGAGCGAACAGACGGGGAGCUUCCUCCUCUGACGUUAGCGGCGGACGGGUGAGUAACACGUGGAUAACCUACCUAUAAGACUGGGAUAACUUCGGGAAACCGGAGCUAAUACCGGAUAACAUGUUGAACCGCAUGGUUCAACAGUGAAAGACGGUCUUGCUGUCACUUAUAGAUGGAUCCGCGUCGCAUUAGCUAGUUGGUAAGGUAACGGCUUACCAAGGCAACGAUGCGUAGCCGACCUGAGGGGGGGAUCGGCCACACUGGAACUGAGACACGGUCCAGACUCCUACGGGAGGCAGCAGUAGGGAAUCUUCCGCAAUGGGCGAAAGCCUGACGGAGCAACGCCGCGUGAGUGAAGAAGGUCUUCGGAUCGUAAAACUCUGUUAUUAGGGAAGAACAAAUGUGUAAGUAACUAUGCACGUCUUGACGGUACCUAAUCAGAAAGCCACGGCUAACUACGUG